GCUGAGCUAAGUAACUGUAGCUUGUAACCUGAGUGGGGGCAUCAAGGUGAUGGAACAUGGCUAUGACAUUCUAGGUGGGUUUGGUUCAACAAAUGUUGGCUUGCCCACUCCAAGUUGAGAGUUGAGGUAUGGUACUUGAGCGAAAGCAUAAGUAUCAUGUCUCCUAGAUAAGAGGGCAAAGCGUGAGGCUGGUUUCACAGAGCAGCGAACACCUCUGGCUCUUGACAGUGGAGGGAUCACAGGCUGCUGCUCAUCCAUUCCACAUGCCUGGUGUGCUAAGCUAACUUGAACCAUCACUUUUGUUCUUAUAUAUAAUUUAUUUGGUGAACCUGCUUUAUAGCUAUUCUCUGUUUUAAUGGGAAAUGGGAUCUGUGGGUGUUUCACUACGAUCAGUUUGUGUUUUUUGAACAGUUUAUUUAUGCCUUAAUGGUGUAAUAGUACUUUCUGCUCCUGUAAUUGUUUUAUGUAUAGCUAUUCUCUGUUUUAAUGGGAAAUGGGAUCUGUGGGUGUUUCACUACGAUCAGUUUGUGUUUUUUGAACAGUUUAUUUAUGCCUUAAUGGUGUAAUAGUAC